AGCAGGCUGCGCGGGUGGGGAGCGCGGGCCAGGGCGGCCCUUCAGCGCCUGGCUGCUGGCCGGGAGGGGCUUGCACGCACGCCGUCCCUAGCCAACCUCGCUGCGCGGGCUUGCGGGCUAGCUCGGGUGCACCGGAGGUGCUGUCGGGCAGAGCGCGGGAUCACGCAGAAGGCCGGCGCGCACAGACCCAGAUUUCUCUGGAUGGACAGACCCAGCCUGGGACCCUGGGCUGGAGGUGCUGAGUGGAGCGGCCACAGGGAAGACGGCCCCCUGAGCCCACUGAGGCGUGCGAGUGUCGAUGCAGGAGGCUGCCCACCUGCAGGACAGCGGGGAGAAGUGUGCUGUGGACAGACGCACACAGGCGGCCAGGUGGUGACACGCAGAGCCUGGAGGGCGCACCAGCCAUCCCAGGAGCCCAGGAGCAUGGUGACCCCCGGGAGCAGGAGGGUGGGGCGGAGGCUCCCUCCCAGCCUCAGAGGAAGCAGCCCUGCUGCCCCGUCAGCCCUGGCCUUCGGAACCCAGGGGAAAUGGAUUUCUGCUUCUCUAAGCCACCCAGUUAGUGACGAUUUGUCAUGGCAGCUCCUGGAAACUAAUACAGGUUCACAGACCUGAUUUUCCGUAUGCCGAUACAGACAUGCAUUUGUUAGGUAAAAGCCUGUGGGUAACGCUCAGUUCCUUCGACAGCGUUAUCGUGAUAAAAUGAGCUCAUUCAUACAUUUUAUAUGCCGAUAAAGACAAAAGAUCCAGGAUACACAAGGUUCCUCUUGUUUCAAUUAUUUUAUUCUUUUAAAUGACAAACAAUGUGGCAAGACAAACAGAAAAAAGAGUCUUCAUGGAACAAAUACCAGGGGAUCCGUGCACCUCAGCGAUCACCCUUCCAGGCCUGCGAACAGACGCUGCUCAGCAGCUACGUGUGCAGCGCCUCUGCAUCUGUGCUUGGGGAUCGCUCUUUGAGGACUGGGAGCAGAAAAUGCCCCCUGGGCUGCCAUGGAGAUUCCUGCUGCCUGGCUCCUGGUGUGAGCCGAUCCUGGGUGGCUUCGUCUCCCCAGGCCUCUGGGAGCCCAGUGCAGGCAGGUGACUCUGUCCUCCCGGAUGCAGUUCCACCCCAUAGAUCUUCCCAGUCCCUUUUCUGUGGCUAUUGCUGAAUACCAGAGGCUGGGUGUAAAGAUGUAAUGAUAAAGGUUUAUAAAGAUAAUAGGUUUGCUCAGCUCGAAGUUUUAGAGUGUGAAGGUUCAAGAUUGGGUGGCCCCUCGUGUUUGGCCUUUGGUGAGGGACCUUGGGAUGUCACAACAUGGUGGACGGCAUCAAGCUGAGGGUGUGAGGCAAGGAGCCUGAGGGUGGGAGGGGCCAGUCUUGAUCUUCUGUGAGUCCUUCCAAGGGCACGCCCAGUCACCUCACCAGCUUCUCCUAGGCCCCGCCUCCCGUGCCAUCCUCUGAGACCCAGCCUCCGUGCCGUGGACCAGGAGGACAAGCCACAUCAGCCUAGGAGGACCCGGUCUGUGUCAGGUCUUGGGAGCUCCAGCCAGACCUCCCGCCCUUCUGCAGGAGGCCAAGAGCACCUUGUCCCUGAGAUGCAGCAGCGUCCCAGGACUUGUGCGAGGCCCGGGAGUACGUGGUCAGCACUUGCUUGGUCAGCACCACCUUACCCAGCCCCCACAGCUCUCGGAGACCUGCCUCCGUCACCAGGGGCUCCACCUGGCCCCUGCGGUGAUCCUGGAGAGAACCCCCUGCCCUGGGGGAGCAGGACCGGGUGGACAUCAGGUGCUCCUGCUCCUCGCAGAGCCUGGCCUGCUGGGCUCUGCCUCCGCCUGACCGCCAGCCCCGAUCCCUCCUGCCAUCUGUCGGGAAACAAAGACGGGAGGCCCAGUCAGACAGGGACUGUGGGGACGGAGGCUGCCCGCAGGCCAGCGAGGCUCCCCACGCUUGAUGAGCUCCUCUGACCCAGCACCCCACGUCUCACUGCCAGAAGGAAUGACAGGGGCACGAAGGCGGACACUCGGCUGGGAGGGACAGCAGCCUCAGGACCAGCCUCAGCUGGGGCCGGUGGCAGCGCGGCAGGUGGCACAGCAGAGGAUGAGCAGGUGGGAAUUUGGAACAGCGAUGACCCCCACAUGGCCCCAGCGGGUGUGGCCCGCUCAGGUCCUAGUGAAGGGACCUCUGGUUGCAUUCUCAGAAGGCAGAGAGACAGAGACAGAGACAGAUACAGAGCAGACGGGGAGACUGGCUCGUGCCGCCCUGAGGCUGGAAAGGGAGGGCAGCUGGGGAAAUGCAGGCGGAGCUGGUGCUGGCCACUGGAGGGCUAUCCUUCCCUAGGAGCCUCGGUUUGCUCUUAGGCCUUCGCCUGAUGGGACAAGACCCACCCACACCAUGAAGGUCCUCGGUGUCACUUGGCCAGCUGAUUGCAGGGCUUAACAGUACCUACUUCUGCAGUGACACUUGGACCAGGGUUCAACUGAAGAUCAGGACCCUGAAUUCUGGCCACAUGGACAAUAAGCCUGACCAGGGCAGGGGCUGGCAGAUGUACUCUGCCUGGCUGUGUCCCUCUUCCCUGCAGGCCAGCCUCUGGGGCUGGGCGUGUAUCUGCCGCCAGGCCUGUCCACUUAGAUUUUUGUGGCGGGACUGGCUGCACACCAGGGUCGUCAUCAACAGGCUCAUCUGGACUGUGCAGGUGACCAGGUGGCCUUUCUGCCCCUAGCAUGUCUGUGUGAAGACGUGUCUAAGACGUGUGACCUAGAGCUGGCCCCUACCUGCAGCUGGUGGGUGGGGCCAUCGCACACGUGCAGAGAGGACAACAACCUGCACUGAGCCACCCUCCACUGGUGACCCCGUGGCCACCCAGCGGGCUGCUUUGCAGAUGAGGAAACCGAGGCCCCAGAGGUUAGGUAUCGUGCCCAGGCUCAUGCGGCUGGUAGGUGAUGAGCCAGGAUAGGAGCCAGACCCUCUGCCCUGCUCCCCGGAGCCCGUGGCACAUCUGGGGUGUCCUGCAUGCGCCUGUGCAGGAAUCAGGCUGACAGCUGGGUCAGGACGCACAGCCAGGAGACUGGACCCCGGCACCAAAUCCCCUGUGACAACUGGACACCUCAUUCUACUCUUGGUGCUGCGUCUCCUUGUCCAGAGUAGGACACACCCCUCCAUCUCCUUUCUCUGGAAAGUUGUGAGAAUUUGUUUCUGUCGAAUCGUUUGAAGAAUCAUGAAAAAAAUUUUUCAAAUGCCAGUUUUACAAAAUAAAGGAUUGGUCGUAGGUUUCCCUUUGGGGGGCCCUGAGACCACAGGAAUCCCAGCGUUCCUGGGAUAUAGUGAAUGGACCUGACUUCCCUGCUGACACGCGGUGGCUUCGCAUUCCAUGUUUGGUCACCAUCAGAGGAGACCUGGGGCCUUCUAGAGAUGGGCACGUGUGUCUCCAGGGCCCGGAUUCGGGCCUUUCCGAGGAGCCCUGGGCUGACACUCCUGUAAGUGGUGUCUGCACACUUGAAGCGGCUCUGACAGCUGGUCUUGAGGGGCCGUAACUAGACACCCUGCAAACUGGAAGAGAUUAGCUCUGACCACAGGGCACCCAGCAGACCGGCACUUAAUAACCUUCCCAAAUGUGUGAAGCACUUAGUUCUAGAAUAACAGGAAGAACUGGACUGCGGCACGGCGGGCUUGAGAUUCCUCCUGGCCAUCCUCUUCCUCUGGCCAGCCAGCACGGUGACCACAGCCCCGUCCAGCUUCCCAGGGUCCCCCUCCUGGGGCGGCGCGUCCCAGGGAGAUGACAUGCAGGCUCUGUGUCCUGCACAAUGACUCCCUGAGGCCAGUCUUCCUGAGGAAGCAGCCCAGGCUGCAGCCCAGGCCAGGGAAACGUGAGUCUCCACCAAAUCCUCCGCGCCACGGAAACCGCUGCAAAAUUGCUCCCUUCCUCCCCGCAUGGCUGGGCCAGCGGCUCCGGGAGGCCUCCGACAAGAGGGCAUUGUGUGGCUGGACCCCUCCCCUGCCACAAAGGGGGCCUUUCAGGGCUGCCAACGGGGCGGGUGGGGACCCCGAGGCCCCUUGGAGACGGCUCUGGGGCUCCGAGGCGCUCCUGGAACUCUUGGGGUGCUCCUUCUCGGCGCCGGGCUCCGCUCCUGCCAGAGGCCCGCGGGUUCGUGCAGGGAGAAGCGCUCGGCUGUUAUGUGAACAGAGGGACAGAGAACGCUCGGAUUUCUCUGUCGGGAGGUCAUUUCCCCCGGAAGGUCCACAUGGGGAUGGUGGAUUCAUGGUGGGAGCCUCGUUCAGAAAGGGACGCAAGAGACUGGCCGUCCUGGUGGCCUCGGGGAGCUGGGAGUUUGGAGACAGCAGAGGAGGGAAAGAAACUGCGCGGCGUGUCCCCGCAGGCUUUGGAAGACGGACACGGGAACAGAUAUCUAAUUUAAACAUAUCUUCAUCCUGCCCAAGGCCAAGUGUAUACCGUCUCAGAGAGGGAGGGCGUCCGGGAGGCAGGAGCCCAGCCGGCUGCUGGCGAGGCCCCGUGCCUGCUGGGAGAUCUGCUGUCUGCAGAGUAGCCUCGCUGUGCCAGUAACCAAGGGACUGUGGGCUCCGGGGUUCAGUGACUUCAGCCGCCUGUGGUGACCACUACCCUCUUCGGAUAGAAGUGCUGUUUCUUUUUCAUGGACAAAAUGGUUCUCAGACUGGAGGCCACAUUCCCUCCUGCCUCCUGGGUGAGGCUGGCUGGGCUGAGGCUCAUGGGGGCUGCUGCCCAGGGAGGCCAGAUUUACAGCUGAGCUAGGGAGGAGGCCCAGGAGGAGGAGCAGCCCCAGGGACCUCCUGCCACCCUUGCCACCAAGGCGGGGUCACUGGCCUCUGUGCAUGGGCAGGGAGGGUGUUGUUCUCCAAGGACACGGCACUCGCUGAAGCCAGUGUUUUAUUGCUAGAAACAGGAGAGCCCGACCUUGAUCCACCUCUGCCCCCGUUAAAACUAACCGAAAUGUCCCCUGUGUCCGAGUGACCCCAAGCAGGAGGACUGAGCUGCAGACUUUCCACCAGGAGGCUGGGCAGCUGCGGAGUCUUCCAGUGUGAUGGGCACAAUCCGUUCUGCCUGUGAAGCCAAGAGGGGACAAACAGGUCUGUUGAGGGCCGCAGCCGAGUCGGGAUGACGCAUGGCAUUUUUGACAGAAGUAGUGGUCGAGAGGUGACCCCAGGGAGCCAUUAAGAUGAUGACUUUUGAGUUCUCGCGGAGUUCCCGUUGAGUUCCGGUUGAGCUCUCCCGGGGAUUCCUGCAGAGUUCGCGUUGGUUGGUGAGGUUCCUGUGGGGGGAGUUCCGGUUGGUGUGUGGUGGUUGCUGGAGGAGUCGCGUGGGUGGCGUUCGGGAGAGUUCCCGGGGAGUGUGCUGGUGGAGUUUGGAAAUAAAGUUUGUUCCUGCUUGA